rnacentral:rRNA from 1 species
AUACGGAGGAUCCAAGCGUUAUCCGGAAUCAUUGGGUUUAAAGGGUCCGUAGGCGGCUUAGCAAGUCAGUGGUGAAAUCUCCCCGCUCAACGGGGAAACGGCCAUUGAUACUACUAGGCUUGAAUUAUUAGGAAGUAACUAGAAUAUGUAGUGUAGCGGUGAAAUGCUUAGAUAUUACAUGGAAUACCAAUUGCGAAGGCAGGUUACUACUAAUAUAUUGACGCUGAUGGACGAAAGCGUGGGGAGCGAACAGGAUUAGAUACCCUGGUAGUCCACGCCGUAAACGAUGGAUACUAGCUGUUGGGCGCAAGUUCAGUGGCUAAGCGAAAGUGAUAAGUAUCCCACCUGGGGAGUACGUUCGCAAGAAUGAA